rnacentral:rRNA from 1 species
AUGAAGGCCUUAGGGUCGUAAAGCUCUUUCGCCAGGGAUGAUAAUGACAGUACCUGGUAAAGAAACCCCGGCUAACUCCGUGCCAGCAGCCGCGGUAAUACGGAGGGGGUUAGCGUUGUUCGGAAUUACUGGGCGUAAAGCGCACGUAGGCGGAUUAGAAAGUCGGAGGUGAAAUCCCAGGGCUCAACCCUGGAACUGCCUUCGAAACUGCUGGUCUUGAGUUCGAGAGAGGUGAGUGGAAUUCCGAGUGUAGAGGUGAAAUUCGUAGAUAUUCGGAGGAACACCAGUGGCGAAGGCGGCUCACUGGCUCGAUACUGACGCUGAGGUGCGAAAGUGUGGGGAGCAAACAGGAUUAGAUACCCUGGUAGUCCACACCGUAAACGAUGAAUG